rfam:Candidate divison MSBL1 archaeon SCGC-AAA259I09 AAA259I09_Contig_141, whole genome shotgun sequence.
GGGUCCAUGGUCCAUCGGUAAGACGCUACCCUGACGUGGUAGAGAGGAAGGUUCAACUCCUUCUGGACUCA